UGCUGCUUCACCAAGUGCAUUACCACAUUAAGACUCGAGCGGACUUGGCCAAGUUGCCACACAACUGCAUUACUAAGUCGGGCUUAUCUAUAAGCGCCUCUCUCACAUUUUCGUGGUGACUCCGCCAGACAUAAUCAUGGAAUCGAAAUUUAUGGUAGGUGGUCCUCCUGCUGGUGCGGGGCGACGUGGUCCUAGCGGCCGCCGGGCCUGUCGCCUACGCCUACCCCAGCGCCGACGGUGAACCACACCACCGACACCACGGAUUCCUCGGCUGAUUUGGGGCAGACAAUUGAUUCGGCUACUAAAAAUCUUCGUUACAAGAAACUCUCUCCAGAUAUUUAUUUAUUAUAAUUUUUGCUAC
rnacentral:lncRNA from 1 species